CCCAGUACCACCAGCAGCAGCCCCAGUACUACCAGCAGCAGCCCCGUCCCGCCUACACCCUCGGCCAGGCUCCACAGCCCGUCCAGGACACCUACGAGGUGGCUCAGGCCAAGAGGGUCUUCCAGAUGGAGUUUGACCGGCGCGCUGCUCUGGCUCAGUCUUCCUCGUACAACUGAAGGAUGGCUGCUGAAAGAUGACUGUGUGUUGCAGUGUUCCCGUGGAUGAAAUAAAGCGUAUUUCGUUGUUUUA